CUAUACAUGCAGUCGAGCGAACAGAUAAGGAGCUUGCUCCUUUGACGUUAGCGGCGGACGGGUGAGUAACACGUGGGUAACCUACCUAUAAGACUGGGAUAACUUCGGGAAACCGGAGCUAAUACCGGAUAAUAUUUCGAACCGCAUGGUUCGAUAGUGAAAGAUGGUUUUGCUAUCACUUAUAGAUGGACCCGCGCCGUAUUAGCUAGUUGGUAAGGUAACGGCUUACCAAGGCAACGAUACGUAGCCGACCUGAGAGGGUGAUCGGCCACACUGGAACUGAGACACGGUCCAGACUCCUACGGGAGGCAGCAGUAGGGAAUCUUCCGCAAUGGGCGAAAGCCUGACGGAGCAACGCCGCGUGAGUGAUGAAGGUCUUCGGAUCGUAAAACUCUGUUAUUAGGGAAGAACAUACGUGUAAGUAACUAUGCACGUCUUGACGGUACCUAAUCAGAAAGCCACGGCUAACUACGUGCCAGCAGCCGCGGUAAUACGUAGGUGGCAAGCGUUAUCCGGAAUUAUUGGGCGUAAAGCGCGCGUAGGCGGUUUUUUAAGUCUGAUGUGAAAGCCCACGGCUCAACCGUGGAGGGUCAUUGGAAACUGGAAAACUUGAGUGCAGAAGAGGAAAGUGGAAUUCCAUGUGUAGCGGUGAAAUGCGCAGAGAUAUGGAGGAACACCAGUGGCGAAGGCGACUUUCUGGUCUGUAACUGACGCUGAUGUGCGAAAGCGUGGGGAUCAAACAGGAUUAGAUACCCUGGUAGUCCACGCCGUAAACGAUGAGUGCUAAGUGUUAGGGGGUUUCCGCCCCUUAGUGCUGCAGCUAACGCAUUAAGCACUCCGCCUGGGGAGUACGACCGCAAGGUUGAAACUCAAAGGAAUUGACGGGGACCCGCACAAGCGGUGGAGCAUGUGGUUUAAUUCGAAGCAACGCGAAGAACCUUACCAAAUCUUGACAUCCUUUGACCGCUCUAGAGAUAGAGUUUUCCCCUUCGGGGGACAAAGUGACAGGUGGUGCAUGGUUGUCGUCAGCUCGUGUCGUGAGAUGUUGGGUUAAGUCCCGCAACGAGCGCAACCCUUAAACUUAGUUGCCAGCAUUGAGUUGGGCACUCUAAGUUGACUGCCGGUGACAAACCGGAGGAAGGUGGGGAUGACGUCAAAUCAUCAUGCCCCUUAUGAUUUGGGCUACACACGUGCUACAAUGGACAAUACAAAGGGCAGCGAAACCGCGAGGUCAAGCAAAUCCCAUAAAGUUGUUCUCAGUUCGGAUUGUAGUCUGCAACUCGACUACAUGAAGCUGGAAUCGCUAGUAAUCGUAGAUCAGCAUGCUACGGUGAAUACGUUCCCGGGUCUUGUACACACCGCCCGUCACACCACGAGAGUUUGUAACACCCGAAGCCGGUGGAGUAACCAUUUUGGAGCUAGCCG
rnacentral:rRNA from 1 species